rnacentral:lncRNA from 1 species
UGGAAGAAACCCCAUGUCUCGAAUGCAUCCCUCACUUUCUCGAUCACCUCUUUUCUCCGGAUCGGAUCUUGGUUGAUUCCUUCCAGAUCGAUGGUCGGAAGACUAAGCUCUGAGUGUGAGUGUUGAUUGGAGUUUAGAUUUUCAGGUGAGGGUAGAUGGAACAUCCGAGGGACCUCCGUUAUUCCGGCAUCUACAAGUCCUUUGACACCAGUUUUGGUUUCGUCGAAAGCUGUGAGCUCAGCUUUCCGGUCAUACUCAGGUGUGCAUGGAGACAUACUAAAGAGGGCCAUCUUCUCAGUACUCUUGUGUGGCUUCUACACUAUCCCACUGGAUAUUAUCUUCAAUAUAAGAUAUUAUUCACUGCAUUGAUAAUCAUUAGUAUCAUUUUUUAUGUCGUUUUAUGUAUACUGUUUUCAUGAUUUAUCAUCUAUUGUCGGUUGGCAUUGUUAUAUUUGAUAUUCAUAAAACUAUUUUUUUUCCACCAUAAGUCAAUAAUUUCUUGUCUAAAAGUAUUUUGAUGAUAAAAUGAAAUCUCAAACAUCCUUUAAAUAUCGAUCAAAAUAUUUGUAAUCGGUAUUUUGUGACAACUAAUUUUUUUUUUUUUUUAAAUUGGUCAUUAGAUUACCAAGGUAUUCUUAAUAUUUCAGAAUACUUUUUGUAACAUCAUUUUUUCAAGAAGUUCUUUAUUUUCGGGAUUGUGGACAAUGAAUGAAUUAAGUAAAGGUAUUGGGUUUCAAGGGAAUGAGAUUUAGAUCUUAUUGGAUGAUGACAAUGUUGGAUAAGUGAUUAAAGCUUUCGUUUGUGUCUUGGAAUCAAAGGAUAAAAUGAGAAAAAUGAUGUUUUAGACUUCUUUCAUGAAUUAUGGUUUUUAGUUCAACAUGUGUUAAGCAAAAAUUAACUAGAUAGAAAAAUGGGGCUCGUAAAUACAUUUAUGUGGAUAUAAAGAUAGCCGAAAACGUAGUUGAAACGAAGAAAUUAUGACUAUUUGAAGUUAGAGUGAAAUUGGAUGAAAACUCGUUCUCACGACGUGAGAAGUGCUCAUAAAGUGAGAAUAUAUCCUCAUGACAUGAGAUGUAACGACCGAAAAAUACAAUCAAUUUUAAAUUUUUCAAAAACAUCUCGAUUCCAUAAAAUCUUUACAAAAAGGUUUUCAAUACAAAACAUUUAUCGUGUUCCCAGAAUCAUAACACUACGAAAUCAUGAGGAGCGGUACGAUCACGCCUUCGCCUUGCCACGAUCUCCUAAAGAACCUGAAAAACAUGAAACCACAACUGUAAGCCCGAAAGCUUAGUGAGAUAUCCCCAAAAUACCAACCGCAAAUACCAUACACACAUAUCAUGCCACAACAUAUCUAAACACAGAACAACCAUGCUCUCCGGGUCUGUUGUAUGACUGGUCCGCCGCACCGGCCUAUAGUCCACCUGGUCCACCCUCUGAGUCUAUCCGCNUUGGUCCGCCCGCACCGGCCCUUCAACCCACCUGUUCCACUCUCUGAGUCUACAGUAUGACUGGUCCGCCCGCACCGGGCCUUCAGUCUGUCUGGUCCACUCUCCGAGCCUUCGGCACGUCUAGUCCACCCUUUCGGGACCUAUAGCCUAUCCGGACUGCUCGCUGGGCCUACGGGACAACCGGUCCGCCCUGGGUAUCUUGGCCUAAUACACACAUCAGGCCCCGCCUCAACCCAACUCCAGUCCAAACAACCAUGUGCACAUACAUACAUACAAUCAUAAAGCAAAUCACAAUCCUCAAGCAGAUCAAACAAAUCACAUAACAUAUCAUCAUCCUAACCAGGAUACCGACCUAACCGGUCACUAGCAUAGCGCCUCCCUAUCUCUCAGGAUACCGAUCUCAAUCAGGCCUCUAACAUAUACCAUCCUAACUCUCAAGAUGCAAACAUAUCACAGCAACAACAUCACAAUAACAUAGCAACAACUACCCGGAUCUCAAUUCGAUAAGGGCCGGCCUUGGUGCCUUAGACCCUGUUGAUAUGGUGAGGAUAACUCACCUCGAAAAUGUCGACUGAGCAGAUAACCCAAGCUGCUCCGAUCACUGAUACGAUCUCCACCACUGGUCAACCACCAAUGCACUGAACUCAAAACAAUAAUCAACAAUUACUAAAAUACCCCUGGAAACCACUGAUCAACCCUUGGCCAAAGACAAGGUCAAAGUCAACCCCUGACUGACCCUACUCGCCGAGUCAACCCUAUGACUCGCCGAGUUCCCAUACUCAGAACUUUACUCAAUCCGCGACCUAACUCGCCGAGUCACCCCGAGACUCGCCGAGUCCAACAACUCNNNNNNNNNNNNNNNNNNNNNNNNNNNNNNNNNNNNNNNNNNNNNNNNNNNNNNNNNNNNNNNNNNNNNNNNNNNNNNNNNNNNNNNNNNNNNNNNNNNNNNNNNNNNNNNNNNNNNNNNNNNNNNNNNNNNNNNNNNNNNNNNNNNNNNNNNNNNNNNNNNNNNNNNNNNNNNNNNNNNNNNNNNNNNNNNNNNNNNNNNNNNNNNNNNNNNNNNNNNNNNNNNNNNNNNNNNNNNNNNNNNNNNNNNNNNNNNNNNNNNNNNNNNNNNNNNNNNNNNNNNNNNNNNNNNNNNNNNNNNNNNNNNNNNNNNNNNNNNNNNNNNNNNNNNNNNNNNNNNNNNNNNNNNNNNNNNNNNNNNNNNNNNNNNNNNNNNNNNNNNNNNNNNNNNNNNNNNNNNNNNNNNNNNNNNNNNNNNNNNNNNNNNNNNNNNNNNNNNNNNNNNNNNNNNNNNNNNNNNNNNNNNNNNNNNNNNNNNNNNNNNNNNNNNNNNNNNNNNNNNNNNNNNNNNNNNNNNNNNNNNNNNNNNNNNNNNNNNNNNNNNNNNNNNNNNNNNNNNNNNNNNNNNNNNNNNNNNNNNNNNNNNNNNNNNNNNNNNNNNNNNNNNNNNNNNNNNNNNNNNNNNNNNNNNNNNNNNNNNNNNNNNNNNNNNNNNNNNNNNNNNNNNNNNNNNNNNNNNNNNNNNNNNNNNNNNNNNNNNNNNNNNNNNNNNNNNNNNNNNNNNNNNNNNNNNNNNNNNNNNNNNNNNNNNNNNNNNNNNNNNNNNNNNNNNNNNNNNNNNNNNNNNNNNNNNNNNNNNNNNNNNNNNNNNNNNNNNNNNNNNNNNNNNNNNNNNNNNNNNNNNNNNNNNNNNNNNNNNNNNNNNNNNNNNNNNNNNNNNNNNNNNNNNNNNNNNNNNNNNNNNNNNNNNNNNNNNNNNNNNNNNNNNNUCGCUCUUUCCCAAUUUACACUUUUAGCCCUUCAACUCUACUCUUGCUAUUUCGGGAUGUUACAUGAGAACUGUGCAUCUCAAAGCUCAUGAAAAUUUUAGGGUUUUUAAGGUAUUUAAAGGUAAGGAUUCAUGUUUUAGGGUAUUUUUUUAGCCUCCAUCAUAUCUAGAACCUCUUGAAAGAAACCCCUAGCCUCCAUUUUUAAGAUUUGACCCUCCCUUCUCCUCUCUCAUCUACUUUUUGGAGUUUUUGGUGGUUUUGAAGCAAUGUUUUCAUAUAAGUUUGAUCCUUAAAGCUUGGCAAUUAGAGAUCCAAACUCUCAUCUACCUUCUAUACCUUUGUAAGUUAUAAAGUUCUAAGAUUUAUUGCAUUUCAUCUUUGGAUCUAAGUGUAUUUGGUGUUUUGGUCCAUGUUAAUGAUUUUUGAGUGAGAGUUGGGAAUAAAGUUUGCAACUUUAUUACUCUCCAAGGUCCCAACAGCAUUGUAUGUUUUAGAUCUGGACUUCAACACCUUUUAAUCAAGUUUAGAAUGUUUUCUUGGACCUCAUGGACUAGGAAAGUUUUGAUCCUUUGCCUUCCUUUUCAGCCAUGCAAGUUAUUUUGGUCAUUUAGGUCAUCGUGGUGUAUUAAAGUUUGGAUCUUGAAAGCUUAAGACAUUAUUAUGGAUAAAGUUGAAUGAAUCUGCUGCUGAUAGUUUAUCUUCUCAUGGUUCAACCGUUCCAGUACAAAAAUGGAAACCAGUUAUGAAAGUUAAGCAGGUUGCGAAGGCUGAGGUGAAAAUCAAGGAAAACCCAAAACUAUUGAACAAGUUUAUUUCAAUAUCUAGAUCUGAUGAUGUUGAUUUAAUUCAAAGUGUGAAGGAAAAAGUAAAAAUCUGGGUUUUAAAUUCUAAGAAUCUGUUUAAUGAUACUAAUGAAGGACCCAAAAAGUCUUGGGUUCCUAAAAUUUUUCAUUAAUUGCAGAUGAUGUGUGACGAGCAAUAUGAUUCGAAAUGGUAUAUUGACAGUGGUUGCUCUCGUCAUAUGACUGGAAGAAAGGAGAACUUGUGCGAAUAUAGAAGCUUGGAAAAUGCUGGAGUGGUCAAAUUCGGUAAUAAUCAUAAAUGUCAAGUGAAAGGCUAUGGAAAAGUCACAAAUGGGCAAUUUACGGUAAAUAGAGUUGCUUAUGUGAAAGGCCUUCAACAUAACUUGAUUAGUGUUUCGCAACUUGUUGUGGGCACUGGAAAUCAGGUGGUGUUUAAUGAAGAAGGCAACAUCAUAUCAAAAGUGAACACAAAUGAAGUGCUUCUCAAGUCAAAAAGAUAUGGAGAUAUGUUCACACUUGACAUCAAUCCGAUUGUGGGCAAACCAGCAGUGUGUCUCUUGUCGAAGGCUUUUAAUGAUAUUAGCUGGCAAUGGCAUCGCAGAUUGUCUCACUUGAACUUUUGCAAUAUCAAUAAACUUGUCACUGAAGAUUUGGUUCGAGGUUUGCAUGUACUUAAAUUUGAUAAUGAUACUUUAUGUUCAGCUUGCAAACAAGGAAAACAACACAGAAAAGGACAUCCAGUCAUUAUAGAUUCAAAUAUCGUAGAACCGUUGGAACUUCUUCACAUCGACUUAUGUGGACCAUCGACUGUUGACACACUCAACAAAAAGCGGUACAUGUUAGUUGUUGUUGAUGGUUUUUCUCGAUUUACAUGGGUAUUUUUUCUCAGGUUAAAAUAUGAUGUUGCUCAAACGAUGAUUGACUUUAUCAAGAAGAUUGAGUUGAGUCUUAAAAAGAGUGUUUGCAAGAUCAAAAGUGAUAAUGGUUCUGAGUUAAAAAAUCAAAAUCUGGAUUCAUUUCUCACAGCUAAGGGAAUUUCGCAUAAUUUUUCAUCACCAUAUACACCACAACAAAAUGGUGUGGUCGAAAGGAGGAAUAGGUCUCUAUGCGAAGCGGUCAGGACAAUGUUGACAUAUGUGAACUUACCUCAAUAUCUUUGGGCUGAAGCUGUGUCAACUGCGUGUUUUACUCAGAAUCGUUCAUUCAUUCAUCGUAGAUUCAAUAUCACUCCAUAUGAAAUACUUAACAAUCGAAAACCUAAUGUAAAUUUUUUACAUGUUUUUGGUUGCAGGUGUUUUAUAAUGAACUUAAAAGAUAAUCUUUCGAAGUUUGAUGCGAAGGCAGAUGAAGGCAUAUUCUUAGGAUAUUCGCAUAAUUCUAUUUCAUACAGAGUGUUAAACAAGCGAACACGAAAAGUUGAAGAGACUUUCAACUUAACCUUUGAUGACUAUUUUAUUAAGCAGAUAGAUCGCAAAUUUGAACAAAAAUCCAUCAUAGCUGAUUCAAAUACUCAAGUUGAAAAUGAAUAUUCUAUUGCUUUUGAUUAUGAAUUAAUAUUUGGUAUUCCUGAUAGGGCUAUGGAUGCUGAAAUUCAUGCUACUGAUAAUCAAACAUCAGAAUCCUCAAAACACAAUGAUGACUCUACUUGUACAUCUGACUCAAAUUGUUGCGAAAGCAUGCCUGAAGUUCGUAUGGAGGGGGAGCAUAUGACUGAUGAAAUCAGUGUUUAAGGUGGGCAUACUUUUGAGGGGGAGAAAAGAAAUGUAGAUCAACAUGUUGAGGGGGAGCAUCAAGAUAAUAAUGAAGUUGAUGGGGAGCUUGAAGGUUCAGUUGAGGGGGAGUAUGAAAUUGAUGACAAUAUUUCAGUUGGUGAAACUGAAAACGAUGAAGUGUAUGAGGAUGCACCAUUAGACUUCGAUCCGACAUAUCCACCAAUGGAAAAAUGGACAAAAAGUCAUCCCAAAGAACAAGUCAUAAGGAAUCCUCAAGAUGGUGUGUUGACAAGAGCUCAGAUUCAUGCCAAAAAAUGAGGUACUGAAUGCGAAUCAAGAAUUGUGUAUGUUUAAUGUUUUUAUUUCGAAAAUAGAGCCAAAGACAGUAAAGAAUGCAAUGGAACACUCAGAUUGGGUUGUUGUCAUGCAAUCUGAAAUGGCUGAAUUUGAACGAAACAAGGUUUGGAGACUUAUUCCUAAACCUUCUGAUGUUUCGAUUGUCGGGCUAAAAUGGAUUUUCAAAAAUAAAACCAACAAAGAUGACAAUAUUAUUCGAAACAAGGCUAGGCUUGUAGUAAAAGGGUAUUCGCAACAAGAAGGAAUUGAUUAUGAAGAAACAUUCGCCCCUGUCGCAAGGCUCGAGGCAGUUCGCAUAUUUUUAGCCUAUACAGCUCACAAAAACUUUGAUGUUUAUCAAAUGGACGUUAAGUGCGCAUUCUUGAAUGGAGAGCUAGAAGAAACAGUCUAUGUCGAACAACUACCAUGCUUCGUAAGUAAGGAACAUCCUAAUCAUGUCUACAUUCUAGACAAAGCAGUUUAUGGGUUAAAAAAAGCACCAAGAGCAUGGUAUGCAACUCUUACCAAUUUCUUGAAACAGUCAAAAUUUAAGCAAGGAUCAGUUGAUCCCACACUAUUUCGAAAGAAAGUGGGUAAUCAUCUAAUGCUGGUUCAAAUUUAUGUUGAUGAUAUUAUUUUUGGCUCAACUGACGCUGCAUUGUCUACUGAAUUCGAAAAUCUUAUGAAAAGUCAAUUCGAAAUGAGCAUGAUGGGAAAAAUAAAUAAUUUUCUUGGUUUGAAUAUAAGAUAGAAUAAGGAUGAAAUUUUUAUCAAUCAAGAAAAAUACACGAAGAAUCUGCUCGAGAAGUUUGCAAUGAUGAACAGUACAAAGCUUAGAGUGCCAAUGGCAGUGGGAACAAGACUAACUCCUUUGUUAGAUGCUCCUGCUGUUGAUCUAACACUUUAUCGAAGCAUGAUAGGGUCUUUAUUGUACUUAACUUCAAGUAGGCCUGAUAUUAUGUUUUCAGUUUGUAAUUGUGCCAGGUAUCAAGAAAAUCCCAGAGAACCUCACUUAACUGUAGUGAAAAAUAUUUUUCGCUAUCUUAAGGGGACAAAUUCAUUAGGACUCUGGUAUCAUUCAAAUUCAGGAUUUUUCAUUCAAGAUUUUUUGGAUGCUGACCUAGGGGGAUGUACUUUAGAUCGAAAAAGUACGAGUGGUGGAUGUCAACUUUUGGAUGGGAAGCUGUUGAGUUGGCAGUCAAAGAAGCAAACUUGUGUUGCUAUCUCCACUGCUGAAGCAGAAUAUAUUCCGGCUGCUGCCUGUACUUCUCAAGCUAUAUGGAUCCAAAGUCAACUUCGAGAUUAUGCAAUAAAUAUGAAAAAGAUUCCAUUGUACUGUGAUUCUCAAUGUGCGAUUCGCAUUUGUCAUAAUCCUGUACAACACUUAGAGACAAAACACAUUGCUCUUCGAUAUCACUUUAUCAAAGAUCAUGUAGAGGAAGGGAAUAUUGAAGUACAUUUUGUUAAGACCACUGAACAACUUGCUGAUAUUUUUACUAAAGCUCUUGAUGAAAAAUCUUUUGUGAGAAUUUUAGCAGGUUUAGGUAUGCUCGAUGCGAAUUCAGUGCCAAAUAAUAUCACUCAAUGAUGAAAGAAGUUUGUCAAGUAAAGAAAUGCUCAUUCAGAGGAUCUGAGUCGGAAUCAUUCAGAGGUUAUUGUGCGUUAAGAGGCUUCGCAAUGGUUCGCAUUCGCAUUUUGGGUAACUUGAGUCCAUUUUUUUUUAGAAAACACGAAAAAUCAAAAAUAUUUUCUUUUGUUUGUAAUUUUUUUUUGAAAAAUGCAAAAACAACAAAAAGAUUUUCUUUUGUUUUGUCUUUCAUUUUAUAAAAAUAUAAAAUUCCAAAAAGAUUUUGUUUCUUUUCAAAAAUAUAAAAACACAAAAAGAUUUUUGUUCUUUUAGAUUUGUGUUUUUUCAGUACUAGUGGAAGCAAGAUUCGCAGAGAACAUGCUUAGUCUUCUAUUGAAAGGUAUCAUUUUUUUGAACUAUAUACUAGUUAGGGUGUCCCUAGAAGCAUGCUGCUGUAUGUCGACCUAAGCCUCAAAUGACUAUAUGUGUAUCAAACGAAAGCCUUAAUGAAAUUUUCAUACGAAAGUUUCUUCCCAAUUAGGCUUACAUUCGCAUAAGUCCAACAAGCUACCAUACUCUUCUCACAUGAGUUAAGAGUUUUCUGUUUGGUCCAAAAAUAAUAGAGGUACAUUCGAUCUUAUAACCAAUCUUUUUCGUCACAAAAUUUCUUAACACGAUGCACACACGAAAACACAUGUCCUUUAGAUCACUUAAUAAAACCAAUCAUGAUUAGACAUGUCAUCAAUCUGUGUUAAUGAUCAUAUUUCAUGAGUCCGUGAAGUAAGUAAAACCAAAAAUUCUCACACAUUAAGGAAUUGACGGGGAAUCAUGUUCCAGAUUUUUAUGAAACAUUUGUUUCUGUACCCGGUAUUUCAUAUACUCCAAAUCAUAUUCUUUCGCAUGAGUGGUCCUGAUCAAAUAUUCGAAGCCCACAAUGUUUGUUUCCCAACAGGAUCCAACACUUAAUUUUUUUAUAUGACUAUGAUUUCCGUGUGAGUAUAUAUCUGAAUCCGUUGUCACUUUUCAAAAUGAUCCAAAGCAAACUUGUCCUUGAUCACAAUGAUCAAACAAGUAAUUUCGGUUACAAUUACUCACCUUAUGUUUAGAUUGAUAUGUAAUGAAAUUCGCAUAACCACCAAGUCAAGCCUAUAAAAGAAGCCCUUCGAUACUUCUCUACAAGUAGUCGAUUGUAUAUCACGGGAACAUACGAAAGCAGUUGAUUACCUCUCUUGGUAAUUAACGAAGUAACCUUUUCCCAGGGUUUUACUGCUUCGUGUCACUAAAAUUUGACAUCACAGAAUCCUAAAUUUUUCUUAAAAUUUCUUCUUAUCUCAUUCGUUUGACUCACAUGCACUCACGAAAUCCUUGAGGUUCUAAGUACUACCAACUUAGGCUGAUGAUUUCAAAAGUCUGGCAUAUGACUUCGUUUAACAUCCCAUAAAUGAAAGAGCCUAACCUCAAAAAUGAAGGGUUCAUUUUUGACAACUGAGAUUGCGAAGGGUUUAAAGUAACUGUUGGCCCUAGUUCCAAGGCAUUUAAUAGGGCAUGAUCAUUACAACGGCGCGUAAUUACAAGUUUUCAGGAACACGUAAGCUAGUCUCUAAUUCUUAAACGGUUCAACUUUGGGGAAAUAUAUAAAAAGGGAAUUUUUCACUGUAAUCUUUACGCGAUUCAUAAUUCUCAGACGAACAAAAGCCCUAUAAUUUUUCUCUCAAGAUAUUCCCAAGUUUUCAAAAAUGGCAGCCAAUCAAUCCAACACUAAAGAAAUUGUCUCACAACCUCUGAUGAAAAUCCAAAGUACCAAUUAUUAGGUUGAUGCUGUUGUGUCAACAUAUCCAGAGGAGUUGAAGAUGUUGAUUGUUGCUCUGAAAAGAUCACCUUUAGCUACGGUGAUGUUUAAUUCUUUUUCUGUUCCGAUGACCUGGUUAUCAAUGGCGGCUUCCACAGCAUCAUACAACAAAGCAAUAGACAUUAUCACUUUCAACCUGGUGAAUGAUAAAAGGAUUCAAUUGACAAAGUUGAUGUUCAUCAGUUUCUUGGAAAUUCCUAACUCAACCCCAUUCUUCAAACCUCAUAAUGCCUAGAUUAUUCAUAUGUUCAAUGAGAUGGGGCAUCAACCACCAUUGGACAAAAUCAGUGAUUUCAGAAAGUCAGGCUUGCCAUGUAUGUGGAAUUUUCUCUUUGGAAUUUUCCUCAGAUGCUUAACAGGACGAAGUGUAGCUCUUGACAGAGGAAGGAUGGAAGUGUAUGCGAUGGUAAUGGGGUUAUACUAUGAUCUCAGUGUGGAUUAUGGGACUCAAUUAUGGAAAGAAUUCAUUAAGAGUCUUGAAAAUACAACUAUAGAAAGGGGAUUUCAUGUGCUCGUUAUUGGAGCUUAAUUCUUCAAAAAGUCUAUGAAAAAGUCGGAAUUCAAGUUCCUGAAGGUGCAGAGGUUGUAGAGUUUACCAAGUAUCAAUGUCCUAAGGUGGUGGAGGAUGAUGAAAACUUUUUUACAAACAUUGCGAAAAUUCCUGAUACACUGCUUCGCAAAGUACAUUCUUCGCAUUAAGUGCUCAUCAGAUAUAUGAAUACUAUCAAUCCAAAUGUUCAAACUGGAGUUUUAUUGAAUGUUGAAGGUGGGUCUUCCAAACAAGCAAAGAAGUUGAAGACUGAGGAACAAACAAAGACUGAAUUACCUAAGUCUUCAGUAGGGGAAGAUAUUCAGACGGUGGUUGGAUCUGAGAAGCCUACGAAGGAGAUUAUUCCUUCAAAAUUAGGAGUUUUAAAGAAGCUUCACAAAUUGUCUCACAAGCGGACUUCUUCUGAUGAUUCUCCAACAAUUCACAAAACAUAAGUCAGUAGUAAGGGAAUUGUUAUCAGAGAAAUUCCUCCACCUACUUCUCCAAUGUCCAAGAAAAGGCGGGCCCAUGAUGUUGCGCAGCACAUUACUGGGAAGUUGUAUAAGAAGAGGAAACUUGUUGUUAGAGAUGGCUCUUCAGAAGAUGAAGUUGUUCCUGAAACUCCGAUUGUUUCGACUUCUCCGAUGGUAACUACUUCCAUUAUCUCUUCAACUAUCACUUCGCAUGUUUCUACCACAACUACAGUUCCACUCGAAGUAGUCUCUACUGAAUCAUUUAAUGAGGAGGUACCUACUUCUGAUAUGGUUUUCAAUGUAUCUGAUACGGGGGCACCUAUCACGAGUGUCGACACAUCAUUACCUAUUGUUUUGUCCACUUUGUUACCUAUUUCAUCUGAAAGCUUAAACACUUCGUUACCACCAUUUCCCAUUCCAAACCCAUGUGUUACCAUUUCACCCAUUUUUGAUCAUGUUUUGAAACAUCCUUUUACAACUUUAUUUCCAUCUCAAUCCCCUGAGGAUCCACAACCUAUAACUUCUCAAGCUCAUUCCGAUGAUGAAACAGAAGGAGGUGGUUUCGGAGGAACAUUUGAAGAAUUACACUUUGAUUCAGAGGAGGAGGAGAUACCUGACCACAUGCUUAUGUCGGGUAAACAAUUCAAAAUCUUGAAUCGCAAAUUAAAUACCAUCCUUCAGUCACAAGCUGAAUUUGGUACGAAGCAUUCACUUUCUGGUACGGAGGUUGAUGCGAUGAUCAAAGCAGAUGAAAAAAGAUUGCUUGAGAAGAUUGACUGAAAUGAUAAAAACAAUGAGCUUCGGCUGAAAGCUCAAGGGAAAAAUUUUGAUGGUGCCUUACAAGAACUGAAAAAUGUUGCAAAAGAACGACAUGUUCUCUUUGUCCAUGAUGUCAAGAAAGUAAGGGAGGAUGUAAACUUGAAAGUCGAAGAAUUGAAGCAAGAGAUGGCAAAAGAGCUUCAACAUCUAACUUCGCAAAAUUUGAUAGUGCAAGAGCGUGUUGAUAUUAUGGCAGAAGCACUUACAAAGAUUGUUAAAGACUUUCAAGCAAUUGUGCCAACUAUCGAAGCUAAGAGCAAACAUGACAAGGAGCAGUUCGCUAAGCUGAUUGAGUUGUUAGCUGAACUUAAAGCUAUUGUGUCCAAGCCAACUUCGCAAACAAUUUUAACUCCUGAAUUUCUUACAUUGAAAGUUACUUCGUUGGAGCAGGCAAUUCAAAAGGCUUUGGCUCCCAUAACGAAUUUUACUUCUCUUUUGCCAAAGAAUGCCCCACCUGCUUUCAAAGGGGUGCAAGGGGGAGAAGUAAAAGGAAGUAAAGGGGAGGAUGCGAAAGUUGUUGGGAAAGUGUAUUCAACUCAACUGAAAACGACAUUACCUGUGAAUACCAACUCAAUUCCUUCAACAGUGGUAACAUCAAAACCAAUUACAAAAGCAAUUCCUAAAGGAAUUAAAAUUGGUUCGACAUAUAAAGGAAGCUCUAAUGCGAAGACUAAUACUUCAAAUGUUGGGAAAGGAAAGGGUAUUGCUUAUGAAAAGUCGAAGGAGGAGAGAAAUGCUGAAAUUGAAGCUGAAAUAGAGAAACAGAGACAUAUUCAAAGCAUACUGAGGCUAAGAGAAAAUGAUCCACCAACAAUGAACAAAGGAGAUCCUGCAAAGUUAUACUCUUUUGAAUCAAUUGAAUCUAGAGUGUUGGGGAAUCAUAUGUAUGAUUUUGAGAAAAAGCCAAGGAAAAGUUAUGCCACUUCGAACUCUGACAUGUGGCAACUAGACUUCCCAAUCAAUGAAAUGAUGUUUAUUACUGCUCAGUACAAGGUCAGUGAAAGAUUCAAAGAUCCUGAUGAGUACACAUACUUGAAAAUUAGAUUUCAUGUUGUGCUUGGGAAUAAUCAAGAUGAAGUAUGGUCUUUGGUAAAGAUAAAAAGGGUAACUGCUUUCAAGAAAGAUGUCAUGUUCAAGAAUCUACUUCAUAACUUUCGUUAUUUUGUAGUUCGAGCAGACAAUAAACCUUUUGAUUUCUCAAUUGCUGAUUUUCCCUUGAUGAAUCUCAAUGAUCUCAUUCAAGUGGCCCUGAUUCUGAAGGAUAUGGAAGAAAACCAACUGAAGGAAACUGAUUUGGAUGUGUUCAGACUUGGUUUAGGGCAUCUCAAGAUAUUCAUAGAUAAUUACUAUGAUUGCUUGGCCUUAACUGAUGAAGAACUUGCUUCAGGAGUUGGAAGAAAGGUUAAUGUUGCUAUGGAACCUACGAAGCCACAACAGGAGUUGAUGAAUAUGUCCGAUGGUGAAAUUUGUCUCAAACCAUUAGGCAUGGUGUUCGCAGGGAAAGAUACAAGGGGAAAAGCAAAGAGAUUCUUGUUUCAAGUUGCAGAGAUUGAAAAAUAUACAACUUCGCAAUAUACGAACUUUAUUGUUCGUAUGAAUAACUGUACCAAGAAUAAUGAUGGAGACAGGAAGGAGCUGAAGAAGAUAAUCUCUUGGUACUCAGAGAUACGAAGGACAAUGCACUCUGUUGCUCAAGUUCUCACAAAUUGAGUGACUUCGACUGUUUACAAAGGGGGAGAAUGUUGAGUCUUUUUGUUGUAAAAGUUGAAACUUUGUCUUGUCUAUUUCGCAUGUUUAUUUACUAAGUCAUCUAAUGUCGAAGCUUAAAUGUCUAGACUUAGUAUUUAUUGUACACUCAUGUUUCCUAUAAAUAGGGACUGAGGAUAGAAGUAGAGAUAGAGGUCAUUCUGCUUAUUGUAAUCAGUAUUGUAUUCGAAUUCUCUGUUCAAUACAAAAUUUGCUGAUUAAUUUUUACAUCUGGUGUUCAUUUCAUUCAUUACUCAUUCAUCUAAAUCAUGAUUGCUUUCGAAAUCUCGAUUACAAUUCUCAUCACUUAUGGCCCUUCCUAAUUUCUCCGAUAAUCCGAUUGUGGAACCUACUGAUUUCUCCAAUAGUCCGAUUUUUGAACCACAAAGUCAAGAUAGAAGUCAAAAUUCACUGUACCUAAACCUUCCUCCCCCAUUUUCGUUAUUUGCUAGCCUGCUCAUCGUUGUUGUUGGACGCCUGCAGCUUACCUAGCACCACAGCAACUGUCUACCAACGAUUGUCCACCCGCCGGUUACCGCAACUCAAAAAAUCAGGUAUGGAAUGCUCCUGUUCUUUCUUUCAGUUCUUAUCUUAUUAUCCAGUUCUUUCAGUUUCAUCUCUUCUUUGAUUUCUAAAUUUGAAUUUAUUGAAUUGUUCCUGAGUGACUGAGUUAGGAAUUAGCCAAUUAGGAAUGCUCAUGUUCUUUGCUUCUUAUUGUGAAUUGUAGGUUGAGUUAGGAAUCAACUAAUUUCAAUUUCAGUUUCACUUUUCACAAUCUGUUAAAUGCAUUGAUGAUUGUUAGUUUCUUAGUUGUUACAGAUUUUAGUUCAUUAUGAAAAUUGAUUCUGAGGCUUCAGGGGAAGUUGGAAUGGCUUAAAAAUGGGUUUAGGAGUGAAAAGUAUGAAAUUUGCUAACCUUAGCUGGUAGGAUUCGCACCCUCCUAUUUAUAGGUGCGAACCGAGGGUCUUCGGCCGAAUUAGAGAAGCACGUGGCAGCAGCCGAAGCGAGGCAGGUGGCGGGUGCGAGGGCGAGACACGCGGCGGACAGCUGGCUUCGGACACUACACGCGUCGGACUUGCAAGGCACGCGUUGGAAUUCGGUUGGACCGCGCAUCGGAUGAGUCGCCUACUCGGACACGGGGCAAGCUGCCAGCGAGGGUGAUGUGACCGAACCCUGGCCAUGCGAAAUUUCUCGGUUCUCCUGAUUUCUCGGAUUUUGUGUCCCGAACUUCAAAAAUCUAUAACUUUCACAUACGAGCUCCAUUUUUGAUGUUCUUUAUAUGCACGCGUAGGUGAAAUUAUGCUCUACAACUUUUGUUUAGACUCCGUUGGCUAAUUUUGAAUUUAUUAUUAUUAUUAUAUUUUUAAAAGGCCAGGACAUGAAAAGUCUGUUAAAAAUUCAUAACUUCUUCAUCCGAUGUCCAUUUUCGUCUGUCUUUUUACCGUUGUACUACCAUUGACGAGACCUUCGAUUCUCGUUUAGCUUGCGUCGGCUAAAAAUCACUUGAUCUUUAUUUCGAGUUUUUAGCUAUCUACUGUUAUUCCAAAAUUUAGAAAAAUCAUCACUUCCUCAUACGAAGUCAGAUUUGGAUGUUCUUUUUAUGAAAAUUCUCGGUUUAACGAGGACUAUGACUUUCAUUUAGAUCACUAAGGAUAAAAAGUAGUUUAUUGAAAACUCACUUUUUACGCUAAUAGUGUUUGCCGGUUUUGUUGCGGAUCUUUGAUUGGUCAUAAUUUCUUCGUUAUAACUUGGAUUUCGAUAAAGUUUUUGUCUAAAUGUUUCUAACGAGAUUCUUUACAACUUUCAAUAAUAAAAUUUUACUUAUUUCAAAUUUUAUAUUUCGUUAAAUUUCAAUAUUUGACAUUUGAUUGGAAUCUCAUAAGACUUUCAAUAUUUUCCGAGUGAUUCUAAAUAUAGUUUUUCUUCAUUUCUAGUAAAAACCAUCAGUUAGAACUUAACACUCAAUAUCAUAUAAUAUUUGAUAGUAUUAUUUAUUUUUAAACUACAAACACGAUAACUGAACGUGUAUGUUACAAUAAGUCAAAAUCAUAAGUUAAAAUACAAAUUAAUUGAAAUAUAGAACAACAUUAGAUACAUGUGAAUACAUAAAAACAAAAAACACAUAAUGGUCUCACUUUGUAAAUAAUUAAUGAAAAUUUAAGAUAUUUAUGUUGUAAUAAUCAGAUAUGUGUGUGUUAAAUAAUAAAUCAUUAAGUAUAUUAUACAUAUUAAUCACCGAUUUGACCGAGGUUUACAACACCGCUUAGUUCAGUAAGGGGCCGAUCGGAGAGCACUCGAGAUUCUUCAACUCGCCUCGGUAAGGGGACGAGUAGCGAGUACUCGGAGGAGUAAUCGGACAACCCGACGAGUUUUACAACAUUGGCCCAUAUAACUACAAAAAUUGUAAUUUUAAGCCAGCUAUUGUGAAAAUUGGGUUGUGGGCUGGUGUCCCCUUCUGAUUUCUCCCAUAAUCCGAUUGUGGACCUUCUUGAUUUCUCCAAUAGCCCGAUUUUUAAACCACAAAGUCAAGAUAGAAGUCAAAAUCCAUAGUAUCUAAACCUUUUGCCCCUAUUGUGGCUACUCGCUAGCCCGCUCGUCGUUGUUGUUGGACGUUUACAUCUUGCAUCUUACCUGGACACUUGGUCUCACCAUUCACCACCACAACAAUUGUCUGCAGAAGACAAUCCACCCUCGAAGACGUCAAAGCGGGUGGCUUUUAUUCAGUUCAUUUUACGGGUGACAGAAGACGAUAAAGAUGGUUGUGACCUUGUCUUGUUGUUUGGUGGAAAAGCGCUAUCGGAAUAAGCUUGAUUAAAGAGGUCGAGGUUAUCAAAAGAGAGAACAAGGUGUCGAUGGUUAAAGAAGGAGUUCAAUGACGUAUCAAGAAGGUGAUUAAACACUACUGUGAACGAAUGGUAUGACCACACCGAUUAAGGGGAUGAUUGUUGGGUUAAUCGACUUUUAGCAAUAGGAAAGUUUCCUUUUUUAUUACUCUUUUAAGUUUAUUCUUGCAUGUUUAUGAGUCCAAUUAGGUUUCAAAAUUCAAAUUAUUAGUAUAACGAGUCUUUUAAACUAUAGUAUAAAUAGGCACAUAUGUUAGGAAUUUCCCCUUCUGUUAUUAAUAAAGCUUGAACAUCCAACAAAGUUGCAAAUAUCCGUUUUUUUUUCUCUUCUCUUCCCUUGUUUUUACAUGUUGAUUACAUUUAGUUAUUGUUACAAAAUACUCUUCUAGCGUACUUGAACUUGCUAAUCCGUUGAAGUGUUCAAUAUUUAAGCUUGCAUUUGUAAAUUGUCUGCCCAUUACAAAUAAUAUAACAACACCACAGUUUUGCGAAAUAUCACACAAAAACAAAGAAAAUAUCUUUUAGAUAGAUUACAUUACAUGACAUAAGACGAACAAGAAAAUAAAAAAUUCAUCAUGUAUUGCUAAAUCAACAAUCGAUGUUUAAUUGAUCUAGAUCUUAAAAUGCAAAAGAGGAGAAGUGCCAUCAAUUCCUUUUGCUCUGUAGUAAUCCACAUAUUCUUUCGCUGUUGUGCCUCUAUACUUGGCUGGAUUAUCUUUCGAAAGCAACUCCUUGAUUGGUUCAAUAACUUGCAAGGUCUCACUCAUAAAGAACGAUGCCACUGAUACUCUUGGACCAACCUUGUUUGCCACCACCUUGUGUCGUGAACUCACAAACUUGUCAUUUGUAACUAGCUAAAUUAUUCCAUUGAUUGUAAUCAGUGAUGGAUUAAAAAAAAAUAGGGGAUGCAAGUAGCGGAUGAGCAUAUAUGUAAUACUAUUAUAACUUUUUAGAGUCGCCAACUCACACAUACUCUACACCUUUCAUCCGGACCCUCAAUCUUUGGUUGAUGGGAUCUUUCUAUUAAUUCCUAAUACGGUAGGGCCAUAAGUUCUUUGGUAUGAAAUAUUAAUAUUAAAUGAGAAUUUUUUUUCAUAAAAAGACCGACACUUCAUAUAAAAAAGAUUAAUUGAUGCAGUUGCAUACCAAUAUUGCGACGAUAUUAAGCUUGAGAUAGAGAGAAAUGCAUGCCUGUAAAAGAUCUCCAGCAUUCACUACAAGAGCUCCUUGUAUAGGAUGAACAUCGGUCCAUUGGUUUUGAUACAAGAUCUUAAAGCCACCAACAUGAUCUUGUAGAAGAAUCGUGAUGAAAUCGUUGUCAGUGUGGUCCGGGGUGCCUAUGGUUAACUCUGGUUGUGGGCAAGGAGGAUAGUAAUGGCCAAGGACAGCAAGCCCAUCGCCACAUCCUAUGUCUAAAAGAUGAUUUGGGUUGAGCCCUAGAGCCUCUGACAUCAAUGUCAAUAGACAACUUCCGAGUCUAAUCACUUGUCUUGAGUACUCCAAUAAAAUAUCUCUACAAAUAAAUCCCAAGGUAACAAAAAUAUGGAAUAGUUAGAACUUAGAAUCUGAAUUUGAAUUAUCUGUAACCCUUUCAGUAUCGCUUUACGUAUAAUCACGCCAUGUUAAAAUAGUUACGUGUAGAAUACUAGGACAAGCUUUGCCGAAAUUAACAAUUAGACUACAAAUAUUUCAGAAUAUCAGAUUGUCCAUAUUUGAUGGUUAAUAUAUUAGUUAGCAAAGAAUUAAAUAAAAUCCAGUACUGUCGAAUUUUGAUAUUAAUUUGCAAGAUUGUGUUGAAAACUAAUGUGCCGCUUAUAAUUAAAAUCCAUUAGUAGUUUAUUUUAAAAAAGGAAAGGUAUAUCAUAAUGCACAAUCGCAAGCAAUCGUACGUCAUGAUUCUACUUCGUCUUUAAUCUUAAAACUGUAUUAUGGAAGGAGAUUAGGAAGGUUUCUUGUGGUUGGUGCGUUUUUUUGUUGUUGUGUGAAUGGAAAGGUAGACGAGUGCAAAGAGUGUAGUCGAUGUAAUGAAUGGGUUGGAGAAGGCAUCUUCCACGUUCUAUACUAAAAAAAAAAUCAAAAAAUUUCAUCGAGUCUUGAGAUUCGGUAGAACAAGGAGAAAAUGUGUGCUAAGUUUAUGAUAUUUUUGCACAGGUCAAUCGUUUUAAUCGCAAUGAAAAGGCAAUACCAUCAACAGGUGAUGGUUUUAAGUUUUAACCCUUUUGUGAAUGUUGUGUUGGGGAAGGGGAGUCGUGAAUCACAAACUUGUUCCACAUGGAGGAUAAAAAGAAAAAUUAAUAUUGUUCAUAUUAUCUCUUUUUGUAUAAGAUUCUUCUUGUGUGGCACUUGGUAACAUUUGUGAAGUUCUUUCAGUUGAAAACUUGUAUCAGUUAUGAAAUAAUGAAGGCUUCAUUGAUUUGGAGAUUAUAAAUUACUUAGCUUCCACAUAUAUAAUGAUAUGAUACCGGCCAUAUAAAUACUUACAAAUCCUUUAAAAUGCAUAAUGCAUAUAUAACGUACUUUGGUAUUUAAUAGAAGUAGAGCUAACGAUUCGAAAUGUUUCAAAGUUCAAUUUUCGGUUCUUGGAGACGACGAGUUGAUAACGAUGAGUUGAUGACUGUUUACUGCUUGUCGCCUCUAGUUUCUAAGUGUAUCUUUUAUUUUUAUUUUUAUUAAACCUAUUAUGUACCUUCGCCUACACAACUUAACUAAAAGGGUGUUUUAGUGAGGUUUAAGUUUGUAUGUUUAGAUAUGAAAUGAGUUUUCUAUUUAUAUAAUUUCUAACCUUAAGAUUGUACUCAUUAGGAGCCUAACCCAACAAAUUAAUACAUUUUUACAUGCAAAAUAAUAAGUUAUUAUUAAAUUGAGAAGAGUAAGAUUUUUUACAAGACUUUCCUUUUUGUAAUGAUGAUAUUCUUUCAUUUAGAAUCAUUCUUUGAUAACUAUUGUUACACUCUAGCUUUACACAAUUAAAAUAUAAAACUUAUUUUGAAAAUGUUUUGUGAAAGGUAUUUAAAACGGCAUUGGGUUGUUUCACAAUGUGAACAACAGAUCAUAAGCGACAUUAAGAUGUUGAAGAUGUCAGCUGACAAUCUCGACGGUGAGGAUCUAGCGAAAAAAGAAAUUCGUGACAAACAUAAGCGAAUAAUUUUUAUUUUCAUAAAUUAAUGAAACUUUUCUUUUUGGUUUUUUAAUUAUACCUUAUAUUUUUUAUUUUCAAUUAUUAUUAACAUUAAAAUAAAAAUUAUAUUUUUAUGGUUUUAGGGGUGUUUGAAAGUAUUUAAAAUGAUAACUAUUUUUUUGAACUUACUAAGAUAUAAGUAUAACUUAGCAAGAGAUUUUAAUAAGUUGGUGAUGACUAAACCGAAAAGAUUUGACAAUCAAAAAACAUCCUCCCUUAUCCAAAUGUUGAUUGUGAUCCAUUACCCACCACUCAUUAGUUUCACGACACAAGCUCUCUUACUGAAAUAGAUUGAAAAGCAUACCUGCAAGGCGAUGGCAACUCGUCUGGUUGAGGAGUAUCAGGAGCCAUGGUGCAAAAGAAAGAGUCUCGCCAGUUAGUCACCGCUGCGGUGAACAAGUCAAAGUUGCUGUGGUGCACGAACUUAUGCUUCCCGCUACGAUCCCUAGUGUACCACUGUUUCUUCACCUCACUAUCCUGCUCAAAAAACCCUAAAACACCUUUUUUCAUCUCCUCCAACAUGCUAUCAGGAAUUCCAUGAUUCACAAUCUGGAAGAAACCCCAUGUCUCGAAUGCAUCCCUCACUUUCUCGAUCACCUCUUUUCUCCGGAUCGGAUCUUCGUUGAUUCCUUCCAGAUCGAUGGUCGGAAGACUAAGCUCUGAGUGUGAGUGUUGAUUGGAGUUUAGAUUUUCAGGUGAGGGUAGAUGGAACAUCCAAGGGACCUCCGUUAUUCCGGCAUCUACAAGUCCUUUGACACCAGUUUUGGUUUCGUCAAAAGCUGUGAGCUCAGCUUUCCGGUCAUACUCAGGUGUGCAUGGAGACAUACUAACGAGGGCCAUCUUCUCAGUCUUGUGUGGCUUCUACACUAUCCCACUGGAUAUUAUCUUCAAUAUAAGAUAUUAUUCACUGCAUUGACAAUCAUUAGUAUCAUUAUUUAUGUCGUUUUAUGU